CCUACGGGGUGCAGCAGUCGAGAAUCAUUCACAAUGGGGGAAACCCUGAUGGUGCGACGCCGCGUGGGGGAAUGAAGGUCUUCGGAUUGUAAACCCCUGUCAUGUGGGAGCAAAUUAAAAAGAUAGUACCACAAGAGGAAGAGACGGCUAACUCUGUGCCAGCAGCCGCGGUAAUACAGAGGUCUCAAGCGUUGUUCGGAAUCACUGGGCGUAAAGCGUGCGUAGGCUGUUUCGUAAGUCGUGUGUGAAAGGUGCGGGCUCAACCCGCGGACGGCACAUGAUACUGCGAGACUAGAGUAAUGGAGGGGGAACCGGAAUGCUCGGUGUAGCAGUGAAAUGCGUAGAUAUCGAGAGGAACACUCGUGGCGAAGGUGGGUUCCUGGACAUUAACUGACGCUGAGGCACGAAGGCCAGGGGAGCGAAAGGGAUUAGAUACCCUUGUAGUC
rnacentral:rRNA from 1 species